UACGUAGGGUGCAAGCGUUAAUCGGAAUUACUGGGCGUAAAGCGUGCGCAGGCGGUUAUGUAAGGCAGUUGUGAAAUCCCCGGGCUCAACCUGGGAACUGCAUCUGUGACUGCAUAGCUAGAGUACGGUAGAGGGGGAUGGAAUUCCGCGUGUAGCAGUGAAAUGCGUAGAUAUGCGGAGGAACACCGAUGGCGAAGGCAGGUCUCUGGGCUGACACUGACGCUCAUGCACGAAAGCGUGGGGAGCAAACAGG
rnacentral:rRNA from 1 species